rnacentral:tRNA from 1 species
GGACCAGUAGCUUAGUUGGUUAGAGCACCUGGCUCAUAACCAGGCGGUCGCGGGUUCAAAUCCCCCCUGGUCCA